rnacentral:rRNA from 1 species
GUGUCAGCCGCCGCGGUAAUACGUAGGAUGCAAGCGUUGUCCGGAUUUACUGGGCGUAAAGCGCGCGCAGGCGGCACUCUAAGUACGUCGUGAAAUAUCCCGGCUCAACCGGGAGGGUGCGAUGUAGACUAGGGAGCUAGAGGUCGGUAGAGGGGGGUGGAAUUGCUGGUGUAGCGGUGAAAUGCGUAGAGAUCAGCAGGAACACCCGUGGCGAAGGCGGCCCCCUGGGCCGUACCUGACGCUGAGGCGCGAAGGCUAGGGGAGCGAACGGGAUUAGAUACCCCCGUAGUCC